GGAUAUGUGCCCGAAAGUUAGGAUUUACUUUGAUAAAGUAAAACAUAGGGGUUCAAAUCCCCUCAUUUCCU
rnacentral:tRNA from 1 species